AAGCCAAUCUCAUAGGUAGCACACCCCUAACCCCUGCAAUGGUGGCAGCGAUGGGACGGGACUAUGCUCGUGACAUGUGUUUUGGGGACCAUUAUAAGGUCCCCAAUGUCCCUAUUUUGACCGGAUGAAAGGAAAAAGAAAUUUAGAAGAAGAAAAAGAGAGCGGGAAGGGAAGAAAGGGAAAAAAGAAAGCAGAAAAGAGAAGCUGAAUAGAGACAGGAGA
rnacentral:lncRNA from 1 species